rnacentral:hammerhead_ribozyme from 1 species
GUGAUGUUGAGGAGUCCCACAAUUGGACGAAACGGCCGUCCAGUAC